rnacentral:lncRNA from 1 species
GAACCACAUGUGGUCUGGUACUGCUAGAUUCAUGAGUCCCCAUCUGUUCAAAAUUCAAGAUGGGAUCUCUGCUCUUAGCAUCAAGACCCUUUUUGAUGAAUGCAAAUGGUGGCUGACAAAAUGUGACUCAGAGGAAAGAUUGACAGUCUACGUCAGUCUCCUGAUUUACAGCACAUUUAACUCUCCUGAGUCAACACGAAGAAAAAGAAACAGGAUAUUAGUAAUGGGAAGAAAGGCCAUGUGAAUCCACAGGGAGAAGGCAGCUGUCUGCAUGCCAGGAGGAGAGCUCCCACCUGAACCCAACCAUAGUGCCACUCUGAUCUUGCACUUCCAGCCUCUUGAGCUGUGAGAAAAUAAAUGUCUGUUGUUUAAGAC